AUUGAACGCUGGCGGCAGGCCUAACACAUGCAAGUCGAGCGGAUGAGAGGAGCUUGCUUCUCGAUUCAGCGGCGGACGGGUGAGUAAUGCCUAGGAAUCUGCCUGGUAGUGGGGGACAACGUUUCGAAAGGAACGCUAAUACCGCAUACGUCCUACGGGAGAAAGCAGGGGACCUUCGGGCCUUGCGCUAUCAGAUAAGCCUAGGUCGGAUUAGCUAGUUGGUGAGGUAAUGGCUCACCAAGGCGACGAUCCGUAACUGGUCUGAGAGGAUGACCCGUCACACUGGAACUGGGACACGGUCCAGACUCCUACGGGAGGCAGCAGUGGGGAAUAUUGGACAAUGGGCGAAAGCCUGAUCCAGCCAUGCCGCGUGUGUGAAGAAGGUCUUCGGAUUGUAAAGCACUUUAAGUUGGGAGGAAGGGUACUUACCUAAUACGUGAGUAUUUUGACGUUACCGACAGAAUAAGCACCGGCUAACUCUGUGCCAGCCGCCGCCGUAAAAC
rnacentral:rRNA from 1 species